AACCGCAAGAGCGGACCCGCAAAGCGAAGUGCAAAAGCUUCGUUUCUGCAACCCAGUGUAAAGCAAGCCAGGAAAUCCUUAGCCCUACCCAGCAAAACAAUACUGACUGCUAUUCGGAUGGAAAAGGCUGGCAGCGUAAAGGAUGCAUCCUCCUAUCACCCAGAGCGAUAAGGAGUUAAUCACAGACUGAGUUAUUGACAUGUGUACUUCACAAGAAACCUUCACGAAGUUUCAGAACACAGAUAAGCAUCGCCAUCCCCAUUCCACAUUAUAAGAAAUAAGAUGGGGAGAACCCAGAAAAAAAAGGAACGGGAAGGCAGGACAGAGAAAAGACUUCUUCGUGUUGGUGGCAACACGCUGGUGUUAGAGCUCAACUGCAUUAGAAACCCUAAGUGAGAACAUGAACGCCUGCCUUCCGCAAAUGGGGCUCCACCUGCGGGGAUGCGAACCGGGGAUCCCCACCGCCCCGGAGAGGGCCCCGGGCUUAUACUGGCGCCGCUGACUUGUACCAGUAAAUGAACCGGUGAAGGGAGCACGGGCUGAGGCUGCUCUGUCAACACAAGCCCUUCAGCAUUUUAAAUUAAAAGACGACGACUACACCCCCAACUACCUCACCCUUGAGCGAGCGAGCGAUGCUUCUGCCAGUCAAAGACAGAGAAAUGCUCUCGAUUCCAAGCUUACCCAUCCGAAGGAUGCAGGGCCAUAUCCUGGUAACGUAGGGUUGACACCAAGCGGGUGUCAGACUUCUGUCAGAGCUGCAUCUUUGCCACUACUGAAGCGAAAGGUUUCACUCUAGCAACAGGAUCAUUCCUUUAGG